rnacentral:rRNA from 1 species
GGGUCAGUAGGUUGGUCGUGCCACCGGUACGUACUGGUCUCACUGAUUCCUCCUUCCUGAAGAACCGUAAUGCCAUUAAUUUGGUGUUGCGGGGAAACAGGACUGCUACUUCGAAAAGAUUAGAGUGUUUAAAGCAAGCUAACGCUUGAAUACAUUAGCAUGGAAUAAUGAAAUAGGACGAUCGAUCCUAUUUUGUUGGUUUCUAGGAUUGACGUA